rnacentral:rRNA from 1 species
GAUGAACGCUAGCUACAGGCUUAACACAUGCAAGUCGAGGGACCGGCGCACGGGUGAGUAACACGUAUCCAACCUGCCCUUUACUCGGGGAUAGCCUUUCGAAAGAAAGAUUAAUACUCGAUAUAAAGGAUGGGGAUGCGUUCCAUUAGGUUGUUGGUGAGGUAACGGCCCACCAAGCCUUCGAUGGAUAGGUGUUCUGAGAGGAAGGUCCCCCACAUUGGAACUGAGACACGGGCCAUACUCCUACGGGAUGUAGCAGUGAGGAAUAUAGGUAAAUGGGCGUUAGCCUGAACCAGCCAAGUAGAGUGAAGGAUGAAGGCUUAUGGGUCGUAAACUUCUUUUAUAGAAGAAUAUGUAUUAUAUGAAUAAGGAUCGGCUAACUCCGUGCCAGCCGCCGCGGUAAUAC